UACGUAGGAGACGAGCGUUGUCCGGAGUUACUGGGCGUAAAGGGCGCGCAGGCGGCCGCCCGCGUGUGUGGUGAAAGCUCCUGGCUUAACUAGGAGAGGUCCAUGCAGACGGGGUGGCUUGAGCGUCGGAGAGGGGCAUGGAAUUCCGGGUGGAGCGGUGAAAUGCGUAGAGAUCCGGAGGAACACCAAUGGCGAAGGCAGUGCCCUGGCCGACGGCUGACGCUCAGGCGCGAAAGCGUGGGGAGCGAACCGG
rnacentral:rRNA from 1 species